UACGUAGGGGGCAAGCGUUAUCCGGAUUUACUGGGUGUAAAGGGAGCGUAGACGGAAUUGCAAGUCUGAUGUGAAAAUCCGGGGCCCAACCCCGGAAGUGCAUUGGAAACUGUAUUUCUAGAGUGUCGGAGAGGCAAGUGGAAUUCCUGGUGUAGCGGUGAAAUGCGUAGAUAUCAGGAGGAACACCAGUGGCGAAGGCGGCUGUCUGGUCUGCAACUGACGCUGAGGCUCGAAAGCAUGGGUAGCGAACAGG
rnacentral:rRNA from 1 species